rnacentral:lncRNA from 1 species
GCACCUUACUCGAAGAAGAGUCUGGGGAGAACAGUCCUUGCUUAGCCUCAGUUCAGAUGUAAUUACACAGAUCUAGCAAGCCAGUGGUGUGCACCCAGGAAUCACAUGGCACUGAGAGACUUAACUGACUAGGCUUGUUACCCCCAGGGUAACUGUGAAAUAGGGCUUUGGAGUGUGGUAUCAGUUUCUUGCAUCUAUCCCAAGCCUAGCCCCAUAGACAAAUGUCUAGGUCCUUGUAGAUGGGUGAUUAAUAGCAUGCAUCUAAAGCCAGUUGCCUGGAUUCAGAUCUAAGUUCUGUUGCUUGCUGGUUGCCUUGAGUGAGUCAGUUAACCCCUCUGGCCUCAGUGGAGAUGAAAAUAAUAUGGGUCUGUUGUGAGCAUUACACAAGUUAACGUAUGUAAAGCUCUCCCCACACUGCCAGGCACACAAUGAGCCUCGUGUAAGCAUCAGGUACUACAUUUAGGAAGAGAGAUGGUGGUGGUGUCUCAAGACAUUCAAGGUGCUCAGUGAGUGCAGACUAUGCAGAAGAAGUGACACAGAAGCCUGAUGGAGGUGAUGAUACCCAGUGGCCAUGGGACUUUGUCAGCAAAGGCAGUGAUAAACAGCAUGAGAGGUGACGUGCCCAUCAUGCAGGAAGCUUCUCCGAGGCUGGCGAGAGCAACUUGUCUGCUUUGAGAAAUGCAGAUCUAUCAGGAUCCAGAAUCGGACUCUGAAAAAGCUGUCAUUUCAUGUCUCUAAAACAGCCUUUGAUUUAAUGUACAAGAUGUCAAGAAGUAAAGGACAAUAAAAUAAAAACCAAAAAAGGAGAACUAUUUCAAUUAAGAAGCAUUUCUAUAUCAAUUCUUGGAAAUCACAUAAAAUAAAAGCUGUCAGAAUCAAUCUCUGUUUAAAAGGUUGAUUUUUUUGUGGUGCUU